GGGUUCGAUUCUGGCUCAGGAUGAACGCUAGCUACAGGCUUAACACAUGCAAGUCGAGGGGCAGCAUUGGAGUAGCAAUACUUCAGAUGGCGACCGGCGCACGGGUGAGUAACACGUAUCCAACCUGCCGCUUACUCGGGGAUAGCCUUUCGAAAGAAAGAUUAAUACCCGAUGGUAUAAAGAGUUCGCAUGUUCUCUUUAUUAAAGAAUUUCGGUAAGCGAUGGGGAUGCGUUCCAUUAGAUAGUUGGCGGGGUAACGGCCCACCAAGUCUACGAUGGAUAGGGGUUCUGAGAGGAAGGUCCCCCACAUUGGAACUGAGACACGGUCCAAACUCCUACGGGAGGCAGCAGUGAGGAAUAUUGGUCAAUGGACGAGAGUCUGAACCAGCCAAAGUAGCGUGAAGGAUGACUGCCCUAUGGGUUGUAAACUUCUUUUAUAAGGGAAUAAAGUGAGGGACGUGUCCCUUUUGUAUGUACCUUAUGAAUAAGGAUCGGCUAACUCCGUGCCAGCAGCGGC
rnacentral:rRNA from 1 species